AGAAGUGGAAAGUGGCGAACGGGUGAGUAACGCGUGGGUAACCUGCCUCAUGGAAAGGAAUAGCCUCGGGAAACUGGGAGUAAAGCCUUAUAUUAUUGAGUUGUCGCAUGGCAAUUCGAUGAAAACUCCGGUGCCAUGAGAUGGACCCGCGUCCCAUUAGCUAGUUGGUGAGAUAACAGCCCACCAAGGCAACGAUGGGUAACCGGUCUGAGAGGGCGAACGGUCACACUGGAACUGAGACACGGUCCAGACUCCUACGGGAGGCAGCAGUGGGGAAUAUUGCGCAAUGGGGGAAACCCUGACGCAGCAAUACCGCGUGAGUGAAGAAGGUAUACGGAUCGUAAAACUCUAAAAUAGGGGAAGAAGAAGUGACGGUACCCAAUGAAGAAGUCCCGGCUAACUACGUGCCAGCAGCCGAGGAAAUACGUAGGGGACAAGCGUUGUCCGGGAAUCACUGGGCGUAAAAGGGCGCGUAGUCCGGUUUUAUAAAGUCAGAUGUGAAAGGUACCGGCUCAACCGGUGACGUGCAUUUGAAACUGUAAGACUUGAGUACUGGAGAGGACAAGUGGAAUUCCUAGUGUAUCGGUGAAAUGCGUAGAUAUUAGGAGGAACACCGGUGGCGAAGGCGGCUUGCUGGACAGAUACUGACGCUGAGGUGCGAAAGCGUGGGGAGCGAACAGGAUUAGAUACCCUGGUAGUCCACGCCGUAAACGAUGAUGACUAGGUGUUUGGGAUACUCAGUGCCGCAGUUAAC
rnacentral:rRNA from 1 species